rnacentral:rRNA from 1 species
UUUUAAUUGAAGGCUUGUAUGAAUGGUUGGACGAGAAAUAAACUGUUUUUUAGCAAAUAUUUGAAUUUAACUUUUAAGUGAAAAGGCUUAAAUUUUACAAAAAGACGAUAAGACCCUAUAAAUCUUAACAUUAAGUUAGAAGUUAAAAAUUAUUUGUAAGUAAAAAAUUUUAUUAUUUUUAAUAAUGUUUUAUUGGGGCGAUAUAAAUAGCUAUAAAUCUGUUUUUAAAUUAUUACAAGAAAUUAUUGCGUUAGAGAUUAAGAUCCUUAUUAAAGAGUACAAGAUUAAGUUACUUUAGGGAUAACAGCGUUAUUUUAUUUAAGAGUUCUUAUCGAAAAUAAAGUUUGCGACCUCGAUGUUGAAUUAAAAUUUCCUUAUGGUGUAGCAGCUGUACGGGAGAGUCUGUUCGACUUUUAAAAUUUUACAUGAUUUGAGU